GAUGAACGCUAGCUACAGGCUUAACACAUGCAAGUCGAGGGGAAACGAUAUUGGAAGCUUGCUUCCGAUAGGCGUCGACCGGCGCACGGGUGAGUAACGCGUAUCCAACCUGCCCACCACUUGGGGAUAACCUUGCGAAAGUAAGACUAAUACCCAAUGAUAUCUCUAGAAGACAUCUGAAGGAGAUUAAAGAUUUAUCGGUGAUGGAUGGGGAUGCGUCUGAUUAGCUUGUUGGCGGGGUAACGGCCCACCAAGGCGACGAUCAGUAGGGGUUCUGGGAGGAAGGUCCACCACAUUGGAACUGAGACACGGUCCAAACUCCUACGGGAGGCAGCAGUGAGGAAUAUUGGUCAAUGGACGAGAGUCUGAACCAGCCAAGUAGCGUGCAGGAUGACGGCCCUAUGGGUUGUAAACUGCUUUUAUAAGGGAAUAAAGUGAGCCUCGUGAGGCUUUUUGCAUGUACCUUAUGAAUAAGGACCGGCUAAUUCCGUGCCAGCCGCCGCUGUAA
rnacentral:rRNA from 1 species